rnacentral:rRNA from 1 species
GACGAACGCUGGCGGCGUGCUUAACACAUGCAAGUCGAACGGAAAGGCCCUGCUUGCAGGGUGCUCGAGUGGCGAACGGGUGAGUAACACGUGGGUGAUCUGCCCCUUACUUUGGGAUAAGCCUGGGAAACUGGGUCUAAUACUGGAUAGGACCAUGCUGUAGGUGGUGUGGUGGAAAGAUUAGUUUCGGUAAGGGAUGAGCUCGCGGCCUAUCAGCUUGUUGGUGGGGUAAUGGCCUACCAAGGCGUCGACGGGUAGCCGGCCUGAGAGGGUGGACGGCCACAUUGGGCCUGGGAUACGGCCCAGACUCCUCCGGGAGGCAGCAGUGGGGAAUAUUGCACAAUGGGCGCAAGCCUGAUGCAGCGACGCCGCGUGGGGGAUGACGGCCUUCGGGUUGUAAACUCCUUUCAGCCAUGACGAAGCCUUCGGGUGACGGUAGUGGUAGAAGAAGCACCGGCUAACUACGUG